CCUACGGGAGGCAGCAGUGAGGAAUAUUGGUCAAUGGGCGCUAGCCUGAUCCAGCCAAGCAGCGUGAAUGAUGACUGCCCUAUGGGUUGUACUUCUUUUAUAUGGGAAUAAAGUGCAGUAUGUAUACUGCUUUGCAUGUACCUUAUGAAUAAGGAUCGGCUAACUCCGUGCUAGGAGCCGCGGUAAGACGUAGGAUCCGAGCGUUAUCCGGAUUUAUUGGGUUUAAAGGGAGCGUAGACUGGUAGUUAAGUCAGUUGUGAAAGUUUGCGGCUCAACCGUAAAAUUGCAGUUGAUACUGGCAUCCUUGAGGACAGUAGAGGUAGGCGGAAGUCGUGGUGUAGCGGUGAAAUGCUUAGAUAUCACGAAGAACUCCGAUUGCGAAGGCAGCCUACUGGACUGUAACUGACGCUGAUGCUCGAAAGUGUGGGUAUCAAACAGGAUUAGAUACCCUAGUAGUC
rnacentral:rRNA from 1 species